GGUGACAGCCCCGUACACAAAAGCGCAUGUGCUGUGAGCUCGAUGAGUAGGGCGGGACACGUGGUAUCCUGUCUGAAUAUGGGGGGACCAUCCUCCAAGGCUAAAUACUCCUGACUGACCGAUAGUGAACCAGUACCGUGAGGGAAAGGCGAAAAGAACCCCGGCGAGGGGAGUGAAAAAGAACCUGAAACCGUGUACGUACAAGCAGUGGGAGCCCCACCACUAAGCCAGUGGUGAACUCCACAUACGCAUCCUUUGCUGAGGAUACGGUUAACGGAGCGAAAGCGACGUUCAACCGCAAAAGAAGCAGAGGGGGCUUAGUGGUGGGGUGACUGCGUACCUUUUGUAUAAUGGGUCAGCGACUUAUAUUCUGUAGCAAGGUUAACCGAAUAGGGGAGCCGGAGGGAAACCGAGUCUUAAUUGGGCGUUAAGUUGCAGGGUAUAGACCCGAAACCCGGUGAUCUAGCCAUGGGCAGGUUGAAGGUUGGGUAACACUAACUGGAGGACCGAACCGACUAAUGUUGAAAAAUUAGCGGAUGACCUGUGGCUGGGGGUGAAAGGCCAAUCAAACCGGGAGAUAGCUGGUUCUCCCCGAAAGCUAUUUAGGUAGCGCCUCGUGAAUUCAUCUCCGGGGGUAGAGCACUGUUUCGGCUAGGGGGCCAUCCCGGCUUACCAACCCGAUGCAAACUGCGAAUACCGGAGAAUGUUAUCACGGGAGACACACGGCGGGUGCUAACGUCCGUCGUGAAGAGGGAAACAACCCAGACCGCCAGCUAAGGUCCCAAAGUCAUGGUUAAGUGGGAAACGAUGUGGGAAGGCCCAGACAGCCAGGAUGUUGGCUUAGAAGCAGCCAUCAUUUAAAGAAAGCGUAAUAGCUCACUGGUCGAGUCGGCCUGCGCGGAAGAUGUAACGGGGCUAAACCAUGCACCGAAGCUGCGGCAGCGACACUGUGUGUUGUUGGGUAGGGGAGCGUUCUGUAAGCCUGCGAAGGUGGCCUGUGAGGGUUGCUGGAGGUAUCAGAAGUGCGAAUGCUGACAUAAGUAACGAUAAAGCGGGUGAAAAGCCCGCUCGCCGGAAGACCAAGGGUUCCUGUCCAACGUUAAUCGGGGCAGGGUGAGUCGACCCCUAAGGCGAGGCCGAAAGGCGUAGUCGAUGGGAAACGGGUUAAUAUUCCCGUACUUGGUGUUACUGCGAAGGGGGGACGGAGAAGGCUAUGUUGGCCGGGCGACGGUUGUCCCGGUUUAAGCGUGUAGGCUGGUUUUCCAGGCAAAUCCGGAAAAUCAAGGCUGAGGCGUGACGACGAGGCACUACGGUGCUGAAGCAACAAAUGCCCUGCUUCCAGGAAAAGCCUCUAAGCAUCAGGUAACAUCAAAUCGUACCCCAAACCGACACAGGUGGUCAGGUAGAGAAUACCAAGGCGCUUGAGAGAACUCGGGUGAAGGAACUAGGCAAAAUGGUGCCGUAACUUCGGGAGAAGGCACGCUGACAUGUAGGUGAAGUGAUUUACUCAUGGAGCUGAAGUCAGUCGAAGAUACCAGCUGGCUGCAACUGUUUAUUAAAAACACAGCACUGUGCAAACACGAAAGUGGACGUAUACGGUGUGACGCCUGCCCGGUGCCGGAAGGUUAAUUGAUGGGGUCAGCGCAAGCGAAGCUCCUGAUCGAAGCCCCGGUAAACGGCGGCCGUAACUAUAACGGUCCUAAGGUAGCGAAAUUCCUUGUCGGGUAAGUUCCGACCUGCACGAAUGGCGUAAUGAUGGCCAGGCUGUCUCCACCCGAGACUCAGUGAAAUUGAACUCGCUGUGAAGAUGCAGUGUACCCGCGGCAAGACGGAAAGACCCCGUGAACCUUUACUAUAGCUUGACACUGAACAUUGAGCCUUGAUGUGUAGGAUAGGUGGGAGGCUUUGAAGUGUGGACGCCAGUCUGCAUGGAGCCGGCCUUGAAAUACCACCCUUUAAUGUUUGAUGUUCUAACGUGGACCCGUAAUCCGGGUUGCGGACAGUGUCUGGUGGGUAGUUUGACUGGGGCGGUCUCCUCCUAAAGAGUAACGGAGGAGCACGAAGGUUGGCUAAUCCUGGUCGGACAUCAGGAGGUUAGUGCAAUGGCAUAAGCCAGCUUGACUGCGAGCGUGACGGCGCGAGCAGGUGCGAAAGCAGGUCAUAGUGAUCCGGUGGUUCUGAAUGGAAGGGCCAUCGCUCAACGGAUAAAAGGUACUCCGGGGAUAACAGGCUGAUACCGCCCAAGAGUUCAUAUCGACGGCGGUGUUUGGCACCUCGAUGUCGGCUCAUCACAUCCUGGGGCUGAAGUAGGUCCCAAGGGUAUGGCUGUUCGCCAUUUAAAGUGGUACGCGAGCUGGGUUUAGAACGUCGUGAGACAGUUCGGUCCCUAUCUGCCGUGGGCGCUGGAGAACUGAGGGGGGCUGCUCCUAGUACGAGAGGACCGGAGUGGACGCAUCACUGGUGUUCGGGUUGUCAUGCCAAUGGCACUGCCCGGUAGCUAAAUGCGGAAGAGAUAAGUGCUGAAAGCAUCUAAGCACGAAACUUGCCCCGAG
rnacentral:rRNA from 1 species